GCUGCACACAGUUGGAGCUUGGAGCUGAGGCCGGUUUCUGGCCAAGGAACUCUCAAGUGUAGGACGUGUGCUACAGUAACCUGGCAGGACUUUUCCCUGACACCAUGAGGGUCUUUGUUGGCCCUAUGAGUGGAAUUUGAUUGUCACUCUUGCCACAGUU
rnacentral:snoRNA from 1 species